GCUUACACAUGCAAGUCGAACGGUAACAGGCCUUCGGGCGCUGACGAGUGGCGGACGGGUGAGUAACGCGUAGGAAUCUGCCUUAUAGUGGGGGACAACGUGGGGAAACCCACGCUAAUACCGCAUACGCCCUACGGGGGAAAGCGGGGGAUCGUAAGACCUCGCGCUAUGAGAUGAGCCUGCGUUAGAUUAGCUAGUUGGUAGGGUAAAGGCCUACCAAGGCGACGAUCUAUAGCUGGUCUGAGAGGACGAUCAGCCACACUGGGACUGAGACACGGCCCAGACUCCUACGGGAGGCAGCAGUGGGGAAUAUUGGACAAUGGGCGCAAGCCUGAUCCAGCAAUACCGCGUGUGUGAAGAAGGCCUUAGGGUUGUAAAGCACUUUCAAUGGGGAGGAAAACCUGCCGGUCAAUACCCGGUAGCUUGACAUUACCUAUAGAAGAAGCACCGGCUAACUCCGUGCCAGCAGCCGCGGUAAUACGGAGGGUGCGAGCGUUAAUCGGAAUUACUGGGCGUAAAGCGUGCGUAGGCGGCUCGUUAAGUCAGAUGUGAAAGCCCUGGGCUCAACCUGGGAACUGCAUUUGAAACUGGCGAGCUAGAGUUGAGUAGAGGGGAGUGGAAUUUCAGGUGUAGCGGUGAAAUGCGUAGAUAUCUGAAGGAACAUCAGUGGCGAAGGCGACUCCCUGGACUCAAACUGACGCUGAGGUACGAAAGCGUGGGUAGCAAACAGGAUUAGAUACCCUGGUAGUCCACGCUGUAAACGAUGUCAACUAGCCGUUGGUCCUAUUUACAGGAUUAGUG
rnacentral:rRNA from 1 species